AGUGAACGCUGGCGGUAGGCCUAACACAUGCAAGUCGAACGGCAGCACAGUAAGAGCUUGCUCUUACGGGUGGCGAGUGGCGGACGGGUGAGGAAUACAUCGGAAUCUACUUUUUCGUGGGGGAUAACGUAGGGAAACUUACGCUAAUACCGCAUACGACCUACGGGUGAAAGCAGGGGAUCUUCGGACCUUGCGCGAUUGAAUGAGCCGAUGUCGGAUUAGCUAGUUGGCGGGGUAAAGGCCCACCAAGGCGACGAUCCGUAGCUGGUCUGAGAGGAUGAUCAGCCACACUGGAACUGAGACACGGUCCAGACUCCUACGGGAGGCAGCAGUGGGGAAUAUUGGACAAUGGGCGCAAGCCUGAUCCAGCCAUACUGCGUGGGUGAAGAAGGUCUUCGGGUUGUAAAGCCCUUUUGUUGGGAAAGAAAAGCAGCAGGUUAAUACCCCGCUGUUCUGACGGUACCCAAAGAAUAAGCACCGGCUAACUUCGUG
rnacentral:rRNA from 1 species